GAUGAAGAACGUAGCGAAAUGCGAUACGUAAUGUGAAUUGCAGAAUUCAGUGAAUCAUCGAAUCUUUGAACGCAUAUUGCGCUCUCUGGUAUUCCGGAGAGCAUGCUUGUUUGAGUAUCAGUAAACACCUCAACUUCCAUAUCUUUUUUGAAAUGGGAGUUGGACUUGAGUGAUCCCAACGCUUUUCCUCACCGAAAAGUGGCGGGUUACUUGAAAUGCAGGUGCAGCUGGACUUUUCUCUGAGCUAUAAGCAUAUCUAUUUAGUCUGCCUAAAAAACAGAUUAUUACCUUUGCUGCAGCUAACAUAAAGGAGAUUAGUUCUUGUGCUGACUGAUGCAGGAUUCACAAAGACAGCUUCGGCCGACUUUGUAAACUCGAUCUCAAAUCAAGUAAGACUACCCGCUGAACUUAAGCAUAUCAAAAGCGGAGGA
rnacentral:misc_RNA from 1 species